rnacentral:lncRNA from 1 species
AGUGGUUGGGGAAAGACUUGAUGUUCCUUGUGACCCAGGUUCGACUCCCACUCUCUCCAUUAUUUUCUGAGGCAUAAGGGCGAAUACGGGUGGCAUCGGUUCGUCUUGGAUGAGAGGCGAUGUUUUUAUCGAUUAUUCCACUGUCGUGCAUUUGGGCCGGUGGAGGUCGGGUUUUCACGCAUCUGGAAAAGUUAAUGCUUGGUCACAUGAGAGGUAUAUGCGGGGGGCAUUUUGGUGAUUAACUGUUGAUGCACUUUUGUGUGGAUGUGGCUCGGUUCGGUUCGGUUCAAGAUCGACGUCACGACAUUCCUCCGUCGUACGACUAGAAGAACGACACAAGAAGACACGAGAACGGCGCGUAGAAGGAUUUUGACAGCAUCAUGAUGUCAUCAUGACAUAAAUAUACUAUUUCAAAAUAGAAAUAUAAAAUGGAAAUAGAAUUCCUUCUUUAGCAUAUAUGUAUCUAGAUAGAAAGUUGGAAUUCAAACAGGCUAUGAUGAAAUCGAAAUAGAAAUUUAAUAGUCUAUUUCGGUUAU